UGGGGAAUCUUGGUCAAUGGGCGCAAGCCUGAACCAGCGACGCCGCGUGAGUGAUGAAGGCCUUCGGGUUGUAAAGCUCUGUGGGGAGGGACGAAAGAGCUUAGUCGAAUAGGCUAGGUGUUGACGGUACCUCCUUAGCAAGCACCGGCUAACUCUGUGCCAGCAGCCGCGGUAAGACAGAGGGUGCAAACGUUGCUCGGAAUCACUGGGCGUAAAGGGCGUGUAGGCGGGAAGGCAAGUCGGGCGUGAAAGCCCCAGGCUCAACCUGGGAACUGCACUCGAAACUGCCUUUCUUGAGUGUCGGAGAGGAAAGCGGAAUUCCUGGUGUAGAGGUGAAAUUCGUAGAUAUCAGGAGGAACACCAGUGGCGAAGGCGGCUUUCUGGACGAUAACUGACGCUGAGACGCGAAAGCGUGGGGAGCAAACAGG
rnacentral:rRNA from 1 species